rnacentral:rRNA from 1 species
CCUACGGGGGGCUGCAGUGGGGAAUAUUGGACAAUGGGGGCAACCCUGAUCCAGCCAUGCCGCGUGUGUGAAGAAGGCCCUCGGGUUGUAAAGCACUUUCAGUGAGGAAGAACGCCUGGUGGUUAAUACCCAUCAGGAAAGACAUCACGCACAGAAGAAGCACCGGCUAACUCCGUGCCAGCAGCCGCGGUAAUACGGAGGGUGCGAGCGUUAAUCGGAAUUACUGGGCGUAAAGCGCGCGUAGGUGGCUUGAUAAGCCGGUUGUGAAAGCCCCGGGCUCAACCUGGGAACGGCAUCCGGAACUGUCAAGCUAGAGUGCAGGAGAGGAAGGUAGAAUUCCCGGUGUAGCGGUGAAAUGCGUAGAGAUCGGGAGGAAUACCAGUGGCGAAGGCGGCCUUCUGGACUGACACUGACACUGAGGUGCGAAAGCGUGGGUAGCAAACAGGAUUAGAUACCCUUGUAGUC